rnacentral:lncRNA from 1 species
CCCACAACAACAACAACAACAACAGCCGCCUCCAGCAGCAACGACAGCCGGAGCAGCACCGCAGCCCGCCUCAGCCCAGAGACCACGAUGCAGACAUCAGAAGCUGGGUCGGAUACAGGUUCAACUGUGACUUUACAGACAUCUGUGGCUGGCCAGGCAGCAGUGCCCACGCAGGUAGUACAGCAAGUGCCAGUUCAGCAACAGGUGCAGCAAGUACAAACUGUACAGCAAGUACAGCAUGUCUACCCAACCCAGGUUCAGUAUGUGGAAGGAAGCGACACAGUCUACACUAAUGGAGCUAUGU